rnacentral:rRNA from 1 species
UACGUAGGGGGCAAGCGUUGUCCGGAAUUAUUGGGCGUAAAGAGCGUGUAGGCGGCCAGGUAGGUCGGUUGUGAAAACUGGAGGCUCAACCUUCAGACGUCGACCGAAACCAUCUGGCUAGAGUCCGGGAGAGGAGAGUGGAAUUCCUGGUGUAGCGGUGAAAUGCGCAGAUAUCAGGAAGAACACCCGUGGCGAAAGCGGCUCUCUGGAACGGUACUGACGCUGAGACGCGAAAGCGUGGGGAGCGAACAGG